rnacentral:rRNA from 1 species
AUGGAAUACGACUUCGGUCUUGUUUCGKUGRUUUCGCUUGSCMGAAGUAAUGAUUGAUAGGGACAGUYGGGGGCAUUAGUAUUUAGUUGUCAGAGGUGAAAUUCUAGGAUUUACUAAAGACUGACCAAUGCGAAAGCAUUUGCCAAGGAUGUUUUCAUUAAUCAAGAACGAAAGUAGGGGGAUYGAAGACGAUCAGAUACCGUCGUAGUYUCUACCGUAAACUAUGCCGACCAGGGAUCCGGAGAGUUUGCAUGGAUGACUCCCCGGGCACCUUAGAGAAAUCMUAAGUGUUUGGGUUYUGGGGGGAGUAUGGUCGCAAGGCUGAAACUAAAGGAAUGACGAAGGCCCCMCURUUUGC